rnacentral:misc_RNA from 1 species
UUUCCUUGACAGAUGAAAGAACAAGUUUCGCAUGUUUUUCCUGAAACUCUGUAAGAUCCUGCCUAAUGUUUGCGACUGUAGGAAUAUCAGACAUCUCUGACUCAUCUUGAAGUUGAACAUUCUGGAAUGUAUCCCUAGUGAUGCCCUUAACGAACUCUCUCAAGUCGUCAGUGACUCCAAACUUUUCAAGAUCAGCCGGCGUAGUAAUAGCCGAAGCAGUUUGAGGAGAAGUUGAGGAAUCGACAAGGCUAGAGAGUGCAGCGGCAGCGGGAAUUUGAAACUUGAUCUGAUCGGCGCGUUUAGAAGCUUCGGCAACGAUCUCCUUAGAACGCUUAGAAGCUUGGGCGGCAAUCUCCUUUGAACGCUUGGAAGCCUCUGAAACGACGUCGGACAACUUAGCGGAGCCAAUACUGAGCUCCUGUGUACGCUUAGCAGCUUCUACGGUGAACUCCUGUGAUCGCUUAGCAGCUUCCUCCGCGAAGCUCCGUGCCUUUAGCCACAAAUCCAUUAAAGAACUAUUUG